AAAGAUGCGUCGCCUUCCAUCGCAGUCGAACGGCAGCACGGAGCUUGCUCUGGUGGCGAGUGGCGAACGGGUGAGUAAUAUAUCGGAACGUACCCUGGAGUGGGGGAUAACGUAGCGAAAGUUACGCUAAUACCGCAUACGAUCUAAGGAUGAAAGUGGGGGAUUCCCAAAACCCUCGUGCUCGGGGAGCGCCCUAUCUCUGAUUAUCUAGGGGGUGGGGAAAAACCCUCCCAGGGUCUCUAUCAAUCUCUGGUCAGAGAAGAACACCACCCACUGUGGAUCUGACACACGGCCCACACUCCUACGGGAGGCCACAGUGGAAAAUUUUAGACUGUGGGCGCACCCCUGAUCCAAAUGUGCCGCGAGAGUGAAAAGCGUCCUCGUUUUGAAAAUCUCUUUUCUCGGGAAAGACACGGGGAGAGCUAAUCUCUCCUGCAUGAGACGGCCCCUGAAGAAUACGCCCCGGAUAUACACGUCCCCGCACCCGCGGAUACACAUGGGGCGCACGCGUUUCUCAAAAUCUCUGCGUAUAAAGCGCGCGCACGCGGUUUUAAAACUCAAAUGAAAACUCCCCGCGCACCCCCUGAAAAUUUUUUUGAACACUGCGGUUCUAAUCUCUCGCAGAGGGGGAAAAAAUCCCCGUGAAACAGAAAAACCGCUAAAUUUGUGGAAGACCCCUGUGGAAACGCCCCCCCCCGGCAAAAAAUUGACCCCUCCCCACAAACACGGGGGGAGAAAAAGAAAAAAAUCCCGCUGGUCCCCCCCCCCCCAAAAAAUUUCUCAAAUUUGCGGGCUCAAUUGACUGGGUAACGCAGUUAACGCGUGAAGUAGCCCGCUGGGGGAGUACGGUCGCAAGAUUAAAACUCAAAGGAAUUGACGGGGACCCGCACAAGCGGUGGAUGAUGUGGAUUAAUUCGAUGCAACGCGAAAAACCUUACCUACCCUUGACAUGGCUGGAAUCCCCGAGAGAUUGGGGAGUGCUCGAAAGAGAACCAGUACACAGGUGCUGCAUGGCUGUCGUCAGCUCGUGUCGUGAGAUGUUGGGUUAAGUCCCGCAACGAGCGCAACCCUUGUCAUUAGUUGCUACGAAAGGGCACUCUAAUGAGACUGCCGGUGACAAACCGGAGGAAGGUGGGGAUGACGUCAAGUCCUCAUGGCCCUUAUGGGUAGGGCUUCACACGUCAUACAAUGGUACAUACAGAGCGCCGCCAACCCGCGAGGGGGAGCUAAUCGCAGAAAGUGUAUCGUAGUCCGGAUUGUAGUCUGCAACUCGACUGCAUGAAGUUGGAAUCGCUAGUAAUCGCGGAUCAGCAUGUCGCGGUGAAUACGUUCCCGGGUCUUGUACACACCGCCCGUCACACCAUGGGAGCGGGUUUUACCAGAAGUAGGUAGCUUAACCGCAAGGAGGGCGCUUACCACGGUAGGAUUCGUGANCGGGGUGAAGUCAANCAAUGAGUCACGAAAA
rnacentral:rRNA from 1 species